rnacentral:lncRNA from 10 species
GGAACACAAGGAGGCAGAAAGAACUGUGUCCCAAUGUUGUGAGAAGAGAAAGACACAAUGAACCACUGCUGGCUUUGAAGAUGGAAGAGGGAGCUGCAACCCAAAGAAUGCCUCUAGAAGCAGGAGAAGGCAAGAAACAGAUUCUCGCCUAGAGCUUCCAGAAAGGAGCACAGUGCCAGCACUUUGAUGUUAGCCAUUCUUAAGGAAGGUAAAUUCAACUCUAAGGAUGCAUUGGUGGAAUCUCUCUGCAAGUAACCCUGAGGAAAGGAGAAGAAGGGAAGGGAAAAUCACACAAGAAGCCUGGAAAGUGAGGAGGUAGUCUCAGAUCAGAUGCACUGUGGAGCCUAUGUCUAGAAGUGACUCUCCAGGGGAGCUAAAAUCCAUGUAUUUGGGCACACACUUGAACAAUAUUGCUAGAGAAAUUUAAGCAAGAGCACAAAGGCACUACGUUGUCUGGGAUGAUGGAAGGAGCUAAAGUCUUCAGUGAAUGAAGGAGCAGGACCAGGAGCUCAAAAUACUUCUUUGAAGACAAAGAAGAAAUGAUAUUACCAAAUGGUUGGCUCAAAAGAACAGGGAUUUUGCAACAGAGAGAGUAUGUCAUGGUCUUGAACAAGCAAUGUUUUGCCAGGACGAUUAAAUAUCAUUGAUGCUUCUGGUCUACAAUUAGUCAGAGAAGAGAUUAAAAAAAUGAUGAGUAUUCAAGAAGGAAAGUGUUUGCUUUAACAUAUGAAGAAAAGGAGCUUCAGAGUGGUGAUUAACCCCAGAAUUGUGUGGAACGGAUAUGGAAACAAGACCACAGGAGCAUCGAGAACUGAGCAGAACUGAAGGUGACAUGAAAAUCAGCUGCAAGAUUCACCUCAGGGUGAUAAUGGGCUGCAGGUGGCUGCAGGAAUCCCGGGACAUUCUAGGCACUGCCAUAUUUUCUUAGGGGCCAGUAAGGAUGGCUAUCAUCAGAUGUACCUGAUGAUACAAACAUGGGCUGUCUUGCCUUCUAGUAUUCAUUCUUGAUGAUUGCAUCCAGAGCUCACUUUGGAGGUGCAGAUCAACUCUUCUUCAGGCUCAUCCAUGCGACUUGAGUGGGCUCUCAUCCCCAUUCCCAGGGGCUUAUGACAAUCAAGGUUUCCACUCCUCCAUGGUCUCAAUGGUUUUUCUCCCCAUGGGAAGCACAUAAUCCCAUUAGAGGCCACGGGAAGCUUUUUUGUUGGGCUUUGAGGGAAAAAAGGCUUUUGCAGCCAAUGAAUCGAUCAAUGUGUACUUCAACCUGGAUUGUAUGUAUGCAUCUCCUAGAUUGGGCGGAUGAUGAAGUGAGGCUGGAAGUGCUGAGCAUCUUCCUACCUGGGAUGACUGGGCUGAGCAGGAAGCCUACCCCGGGGUUCCAGCCAAGUUGGAGCCUGUGAGUGUGUGGUGUAGUUUAACGCCCUGAUUAAAUCACUAGGAAGCCAUUUCUCUCUCUCCUCCCAGACCAGAUCAGACAAUAUGUUCCCUUAUUUCUACUAAAGCCCCAAUUGGAUUUUGUGUCUUUUGAUACUGAAAGAAUCUUACCACAAAUAAAAUAAUUUGUCAUGUGGCUCCUACAUAUUUAUUCAGUUACAUAAACUAACUAAAUAAAUGAAUAAACUGUCAAUAAUGGUAGUUCCUCAUCUAUGAAUGACUCUUUACAAAGCCUAUCUCGCUUAAUAGUCAUAAUAAAUACUGAAGUAGAUACUAUUUAUACCUUUUUUUUAAAAGGAAUUAAAUAUUUUCAGGGUUAUACAAAGCAUGAGUAUUGUGGGUACAAAUUCAAGCUUUCUAACUCAAAUUUGAAGACUUAUCCCCAGGAUACUUUUACAUCUUUAGCUAGUACCAUGUAUACCUCAAAAGCUUACAUUAUUUUUCACAUGUGUUAGGUUUUGAGGGAUAAUCAAUAAGGAGGGCAUACUUUCAGGCUUCUUAUUUAUAACUGUGAAAUUUAGAAAUUGAUGGAGUAGCAGAUUUCUCGGUAGGAGACAGCUGUUUUAAAAUGCCCCAUGUUUUUAUUAAAGUAAAAAUCUCAAAAAUUGUCUUUUAAAAAGUGGCUCUGGCCAAUCUUAGAUAAAACAUCAUUUACUAGACUUAGGAAUUUCCUGUAGUAAAUUUCAGAUUUACUUUUCGGUCUCACAUCAUCAAAGAGAUCAUAACCCUUUGUGCAAUUAUGGUCUUGAACCAAGGCCUAUUCUCUAGGUCACUGCUGUCAGGACUUCAAGAUAAUUGUUUCCAUUGCAGGAUUUGAUUUUUAAUUCCCCGGAUGUUCUUGACGUGGUUCAGUUCUUCAGGAAAUCAUCACCCUCAUGAGCCCUCCCUGCCACUUGCAGAUAGGGCUUUCUCCCGGUAAGUUCUGGAGUCACGGCAGAGCUCAAUAAGUCUGAUUGGGACCUCCUAUGAUUAU